AACAGGCUUAUCUCCCCCAAGAGUCCACAUCGACGGGGAGGUUUGGCACCUCGAUGUCGGCUCAUCACAUCCUGGGGCUGUAGUAGGUCCCAAGGGUUGGGCUGUUCGCCCAUUAAAGUGGUACGCGAGCUGGGUUCAGAACGUCGUGAGACAGUUCGGUCCCUAUCCGUCGCAGGCGUAGGAAAUUUGAGAAGACCUGUCCUUAGUACGAGAGGACCGGGAUGGACGUACCUCUGGUGUACCAGUUGUCCUGCCAAGGGCAUGGCUGGGUAGCUAUGUACGGAAUGGAUAAGCGCUGAAAGCAUCUAAGCGCGAAGCCAACUUCAAGAUAAGAUUUCCCACCGCAAGGGUAAGACCCCAGAAAGACUAUCUGGUUG
rnacentral:rRNA from 1 species